GGCAGCCAUUGUUCUAUCCUUCCCCAGCCAAUCGGCUGAGGCCAUGAUCCUUAUAAAACCUUUGUGCUUUUGAAACCCCACUCUCUCUCUCUCUCUCUGGUAUCUCAUCGCUGCAUCGGUGCAGGUCAACAAGGUUUUUCAAGAGGACAAGUGCAAAGCAGUCGGAUCUAUUCCAGACAAAGCACCAUGGAAACACUCUGCUGGACAAUGAGGGGAAGUGGAGCAGAUAGGCCAUCAUAGGAAUAAUGAGUUGGAAGCUCUAAAGAAGGGGUGAUUCAUACAUUUUAAUUUAUGAUUGGGUUCUUAUGUGGUGGAGUGUUUUACCAUCAAAGAUAGCAUAAAAAUAUAGCAUAUUUACCAA